UUCUCCAUCGGUACACACAAGAGAUGUGUUAUUAAAGAAAUUGAGUUACUAUCUUUCGUUGAGUGACUGGGUGAAUCUUCAUCCUUUAUUCGCAGGAAUAUUCCUAUAUUAAGGAUUUAUGUACCUUCCUAAUUUUAUUAAAAUAGGUGUCAAGCAACAUGCAUCGUUUAUAAGAGCUUCACACAUGCACAAAGUAAAUAAAAAGGUCAAAGCUUUAUACAGCGGACGCAUACUUAUCUUUCUACACACCUUGCAGAUUAUGGCUUAUCCUCAUAAAACCAGUUCAGCUACUUUUAACAUUUACCACUCACCGAUUUCUUGUAUGAAAGUGGAACAAAUUAAAUCAUUUCCCUCGUCGCGUGAAGGGUAAGACAAAAUAGAGUUCUGUGCUGCUAUCUACAUGUUACCGAGUGAACCGAACAUGCAUAUCCCUUCGCUCAGAUCUCUGGAAUACACUGCAUGUGGUACUGUGUAGCAGUUCCUAUUCGAAGCGCGCUGUUUGAAUCAACUUGGUAACAAAUUUGGAAGGUCAUUGUACCAGCUCAUAUAUUCAGAGUAAAUUGAGCCACAUAUCAGGAUCUGGAAGAACAUCAAGAGAUUCUAGACAAUGAAAAUUCUCAAGAGACCCAGGGAGCAGCUCCUCAGAGGAGAAAAAGCAGAGAAGAGUAGUGUGUUCUUGGCAUUUUACAAUGCUCUGUAAAUUCACUUUACAGAAUAAACCAA